CCUCUAGUGCGUGGUGUUGGGAUGUGCUUUGGCAUGUGCUCGACUCUGGCACGACUGGCCGUGGUAAACGGUCGGAGGCUUGAGGCAAUAACAGGUCUGUGAUGCCCUUUGAUGUUCUGGGCUGCACGCGCGCUACACUGACAGAGGCAGCGAGUGGCCUGCGCCGGGAGGCGUGGGGAAUCUUGUGAAACUGUGUCGUGCUGGGGAUGGACCGUUGCAAUUGUUGGUCCUGAACGAGGAAUUCCUAGUAAGCGCGAGUCAUCAGCUCGCGUUGAUUACGUCCCUGCCCUUUGUACACACCGCCCGUCGCUACUACCGAUUGGAUGGCUUAGUGAGGUGUGUGGAUGGGGGGGUUGGGGGCUUUGGCGCCUGAUCUCUGCAAAAACACAGCAAACUUGGUGAUCUAGAGGAAGUAAAAGUCG
rnacentral:rRNA from 1 species